rnacentral:rRNA from 1 species
ACGAACAAGUUGGAAACGACUGCUAAUACCGCAUACGAUCUAAACUCGGCAUCGAGGAUGGAUGAAAGGUGGCCUCUAUUUAUAAGCUAUCACUGAAGGAGGGGAUUGCGUCUGAUUAGCUAGUUGGAGGGGUAACGGCCCACCAAGGCGAUGAUCAGUAGCCGGUCUGAGAGGAUGAACGGCCACAUUGGGACUGAGACACGGCCCAGACUCCUACGGGAGGCAGCAUG